rnacentral:rRNA from 1 species
UACGGAGGAUGCAAGCGUUAUCCGGAAUGAUUGGGCGUAAAGCGUCCGCAGGUGGCUGUGUAAGUCUGCUGUUAAAGAGUCUAGCUCAACUAGAUACAAGCAGUGGAAACUACACGGCUAGAGUACGUUCGGGGCAGAGGGAAUUCCUGGUGUAGCGGUGAAAUGCGUAGAGAUUAGGAAGAACACCGGUGGCGAAGGCGCUCUGCUAGGCCGUAACUGACACUGAGGGACGAAAGCUAGGGGAGCGAAUGGG